rnacentral:rRNA from 1 species
CAGCAGCCGCGGUAAUACGUAGGUGGCGAGCGUUAUCCGGAUUUACUGGGCGUAAAGAGCGCGCAGGCGGUCGUGCAAGUCGGAUGUGAAAGCCCCCGGCUCAACUGGGGAAGGUCAUUCGAUACUGCUCGACUUGAAGGCGGGAGAGGGAAGCGGAAUUCCCGGUGUAGUGGUGAAAUGCGUAGAUAUCGGGAGGAACACCAGUGGCGAAGGCGGCUUCCUGGCCCGUUCUUGACGCUGAGGCGCGAAAGCUAGGGGAGCAAACGGGAUUAGAUACCCCGGUAGUCCUAGCCGUAAACGAUGGACACUAGGUGUUGGUGGUAUCAACCCCGCCAGUGCCGAAGCUAACGCAUUAAGUGUCCCGCCUGGGGAGUACGGCCGCAAGGCUAAAACUCAAAGGAAUUGACGG